GGGGCGGAAGGGAACGGCCGGCAUUGGGCUGGAUUCCGCCUGAGCGCCGCAGCUCCCUCCGUUCAGCGCUUUGUAGAGCGGAGGGAGAGCUCUGCGCCGCGGGGUGAGAGCUCGGGCCCUUCUCCUGCUGCGAACCGCCUGCGGAAGUUAUGGAACUUGUUUGAUUUUUUACCCACCCCACCCUGACCAUUCUGCUUGAUUUAAGUGAGGAUGUGAAAACAACUCCUUUAUGUUCUGGGGGUGCACUUCUGUGGAGUCGGUACACACGUAUAAAUGCACCAGUAAGCAGAGUGACAGACAGCAUCAUUUCUGCCCAAAACCCAGCACGCAGUGAGGGUUGAAGGCUCUGUAUCCCACCCACGUAACCCACAGCAAGCAGAGAACCAAGCUUCAUCAUCCUCCCCUUGCAUGUCCCCAGCCCUGGCCCGCGGGAAACCUUCUCCUGCUGCUCUGAGCUACAGGAAAUUAAAAAGUUAAAGUUGAAGGCCAUUAGGGAGAGUAAAGUAUGAUGUUGCCCACACCACGUAACGCUGAGCGAGUUAUUGUCCGAGGUCAGGAGAGGUUGGGGAUCACUGCUCGGCACACAGUCAUUAGUUUCCCUUUACAGGCUGAGUCCAAGCUCAUGUUAUCUUUAACAAUUUAAAUAACUACUUGGAUGACCCUUAAGUUUUGACUGUGAGCUGGAUAUUUGUCUGCGUGCUCCGAUAGUUAUUAGUACGGCGCUGGCAUUUGUUCCUCUUCCACACUGUAUCUGCUUUUUGUUGAUGUUGGAAGACCGUCUGGUUGGAAAUGACAACUUCAGAAUAUUUACUGGGGUCUUAUUUAGAAAAAGUAUGUAAAUGAGUCAUCUAGGGCCGGGCUUUCUUGAAGAUUAAUGCUGUGAUUAUCUCUGUUUGUUUGGUGAGAUAACCAAUGGCCAAAUUACAGCUGCACAUCAGCAUUUGGGUAUAAAUUGCCUUUGACCCUCACCUGGAAGUUGCUUGCUCUCUGCUACCGCUGCCAGAGUCCCACAUCCUUUGUUGGGUGUCUUUCCCAACCAAUUUGCAAGGAGUUGUUAAACAAAUUCCCAGGCUGGACUGCUGUGUUUGUGCACAGCGUGGCAAUGUCUCAGGAAAAUGGCUGGAAGAGCAAGGAAGGAUCACAAGGAAAGCGUUCUGCAGGAGUCUGAGAGAAAGCCACUGGGUUCUUGUUGGGAAACAGUAAGACACAUGUAAAUCAGAUUAUUUCUCAAGUGAGUUUUACCCCAUAUAAAUUCUGUUUUAAUAGAGUAUUCUUCGUUGCUUGAAGUCUAGACUGAGCAUGAUGCACUCGUCAAAUCAAAACAAGAAAUGCAUUUUAGGAAGGAAUAGGAAAUGGACUGGCAGUGUGCAAGAAGGUGCAUUACCUAUCGUUAAUGGAGAGAAAGUAUGGGAAGCUGGGAGCACCAACACUAGAGAACAAACAGAGUGCAAAUAAACACUGUUUUGAGACCAGCAA